rnacentral:rRNA from 1 species
CAGGGUUCGAUUCCGGAGAGGGAGCCUGAGAAACGGCUACCACAUCCAAGGAAGGCAGCAGGCGCGCAAAUUACCCACUCCCGGCACGGGGAGGUAGUGACGAAAAAUAACGAUACGGGACUCAUCCGAGGCCCCGUAAUCGGAAUGAGUAUACUCUAAAUCCUUAUACGAGUAUCAAUUGGAGGGCAAGUCUGGUGCCAGCAGCUGCGGUAAUUCCAGCUCCAAUAGCGUAUAUUAAAGUUGUUGCGGUUAAAAAGCUCGUAUGGAUCUGUGUCCCGCGCCGCGGUUCACCGCCUGUCGGUGUCAAACUGGCGUGUAUGCGGGACGUCCUGCCGGUGGUGAUCUGGGGCUACGUUGGACCUAACGGAUGUCCAUGCGACAACCCGAAUGCUGGCGUAUGUUUCCGGCCGGCUUUUCAGUCCCUACGCGGAGCUCUUUACCGAGCGUCGAGGCGGGCCUGCACUAUUACUUUUGACUAAAUAGAGUGCUUGAAGCAGGCUCUUUUCUGCCUGCAUACUGUAUGCAUGGAAUACUGGAAUACGAUCUCGGUUUUAUUUUGAUGGUUUUCGAAAUCCGAGGUAAUGAUCAAUGGGGACUGGCGGGGGCAUUCGUAUUGCGACGUUAGAGGUGAAAUUCUUGGAUCGUGGCAAGCAAGACCUAAGGCAAAGCAUUUGCCAAGUAUGUCUCCCUCGAUCAAGAACGAAAGUUAGAGGCUCGAAGGCGAUCAGAUACCGCCCUAGUUCUAACCAUAAACUAUGCCUGCCAGCGGUUACCCGAGUUUCUGAAAAUGACUCGCCGGGCAGAAUUUGGAAAAACAGAGCCUUGGGGUUCCGGGGGAAGUAUGGUUGCAAAGCUGAAACUUAAAAGAAUUGACGAAAGGGCACCCCCAGGAGUGGAGCCUGCGGGUUAAUUUGACUCAACACGGGAAAACUCACCAGGCCCGGACACCCGGAAGUUUGACAGAUUGAUAACUCUUUCUUGACUCGGUGUGUGGUGGUGCAUGGCCGUUCUUAGCUGGGAGCGCGAUGUCUCUUUUUAAUUCCGAAAACGAACGGAACUCUAGCUUACUAAUUAGAGGUACCUGGAAUCCCAAACGGUGCUCCCACCGUUAAAAUUUUUUUUUAGAGGGACAGGCGGCUGUAGCCGCACGAGACUGAGCAAUAACAGGUCUUUGAUGCCCUUAGAUGUCCUGGGCCGCACGCGCGCUACACUGAAGGAGUCAGCGUGUCUUCCCUGUCCGAAAGGACCGGGUAACCCGCUGAACCUCCUUCGUGCUUGGGAUUGGGGCUUGCAAUUGUCCCCCAUGAACGAGGAAUUCCCAGUAAGCGCUAGCCAUAAGCUGGCGUUGAUUACGUCCCUGCCCU